rnacentral:rRNA from 1 species
GACGAACGCUGGCGGCGUGCUUAACACAUGCAAGUCGAGCGGUAAGGCCCUUUCGGGGGUACACGAGCGGCGAACGGGUGAGUAACACGUGGGUGACCUGCCCUCAGCUCUGGGAUAAGCCUGGGAAACCGGGUCUAAUACCGGAUAUGACUCCAUGACGCAUGUUGUGGGGUGGAAAGCCUUGUGCGGCUGAGGAUGGGCCCGCGGCCUAUCAGCUUGGUUGGUGGGGU